rnacentral:rRNA from 1 species
GGCGGCACGCCUCACACAUGCAAGUCGAACGAAGUAGCAAUACUUAGUGGCAGACGGGUGAGUAACAUGUGGGUAUCUACCCUUUGGCCUGGAAUAACACGAGGAAACUUGUGCUAAUACCGGAUAAGUCUUUACGGAGAAAGCUUUAUGCACCAUUGGAUGAGCCCGCACUUGAUUAGUUUGUUGGUAGGGUAAUGGCCUACCAAGACUAUGAUCAAUAGCUGAUUUGAGAGGAUGAUCAGCCACAUUGGGACUGAGACACGGCCCAAACUCCUACGGGAGGCAGCAGUGGGGAAUCUUGCACAAUGGAGGAAACUCUGAUGCAGCGAUGCCGCGUGAGUGAAGAAGGCCUUUGGGUUGUAAAGCUCUUUCGUCGGGGAAGAAAAUGACUGUACCCGAAUAAGAAGGUCCGGCUAACUUCGUGCCAGCAGCCGCGGUAAUACGAAGGGACCUAGCGUAGUUCGGAAUUACUGGGCUUAAAGAGUUCGUAGGUGGUUGAAAAAGUUGGUGGUGAAAUCCCAGAGCUUAACUCUGGAACUGCCAUCAAAACUUUUCAGCUAGAGUAUGAUAGAGGAAAGCAGAAUUUCUAGUGUAGAGGUGAAAUUCGUAGAUAUUAGAAAGAAUACCAAUUGCGAAGGCAGCUUUCUGGAUCAUUACUGACACUGAGGAACGAAAGCAUGGGUAGCGAAGAGGAUUAGAUACCCUCGUAGUCCAUGCCGUAAACGAUGUGUGUUAGACGUUGGAAAUUUAUUUUCA